rnacentral:rRNA from 1 species
CAGCCCCGCGGGAAUACGAAGGGGGCUAGCGUUGUUCGGAUUAACUGGGCGUAAAGGGCGCGUAGGCGGGUUUUUAAGUCAGAGGUGAAAUCCCAAGGCUCAACCUUGGAACUGCCUUUGAUACUGGAAGUCUUGAGUCCGGGAGAGGUGAGUGGAACUGCGAGUGUAGAGGUGAAAUUCGUAGAUAUUCGGAAGAACACCAGUGGCGAAGGCGGCUUACUGGCUCAUUCUAGACGCUGAGGUGCGAAAGCGUGGGGAGCAAACAGGAUUAGAUACCCCGGUAGUCCCUGUCUCUUAUACA